rnacentral:Y_RNA from 1 species
GGCUGGUCUGAUGGUAGUGGGUUAGCGGAACUUACUAACAUUAGUGUCACUAAAGUUGGUGUUCAACCCCCACUGCUAAAUUUGACUGGCUUUAA